UACGUAGGCAGCGAGCGUUGUUCGGAGUUACUGGGCGUAAAGGGUGUGUAGGCGGUUGUUUAAGUUUGGUGUGAAAUCUCCCGGCUCAACUGGGAGGGUGCGCCGAAUACUGAAUGACUAGAGUGCGGGAGAGGAAAGUGGAAUUCCUGGUGUAGCGGUGAAAUGCGCAGAUAUCAGGAGGAACACCGAUGGCGAAGGCAGCUCGCUGGGACGGUACUGACGCUGAGGCGCGAAAGCGUGGGGAGCAAACAGG
rnacentral:rRNA from 1 species